UGGGGAAUAUUGGACAAUGGGCGCAAGCCUGAUCCAGCCAUGCCGCGUGAGUGACGAAGGCCUUAGGGUUGUAAAGCUCUUUUGGCAGGGACGAUAAUGACGGUACCCGCAGAAUAAGCCCCGGCUAACUUCGUGCCAGCAGCCGCGGUAAUACGAAGGGGGCUAGCGUUGUUCGGAAUCACUGGGCGUAAAGCGCACGUAGGCGGAUUUGUUAGUCAGAGGUGAAAUCCCGGGGCUCAACCUCGGAACUGCCUUUGAUACUGCAAGUCUCGAGUCCGAGAGAGGUGAGUGGAAUUCCUAGUGUAGAGGUGAAAUUCGUAGAUAUUAGGAAGAACACCAGUGGCGAAGGCGGCUCACUGGCCCGAUACUGACGCUGAGGUGCGAAAGCGUGGGGAGCAAACAGGAUUAGAUACCCUAGUAGUCCCUGAGCGGGCUGGCAAGGCGCAU
rnacentral:rRNA from 1 species